AGCAAUCAGCGAGAUUCCGUGGGCGUAGGACCCUCUGAGCCAGGUGUGGGAUAUAAUCUCGUGGUGCGCCGUUUUUUAAGCCAGUCCGAAAAGCGCAAUAUUCGGGUGGGAGUGACCCGAUUUUCCAGGACAGUGCUAGGACUGCUUUUUUCUAUAUCAGACACGUGGGCUCCUGCUGUGUCUUCCUGGAAAGCAGAGGCCAAGGAUGGAGCAGACCAAGAGGAUGCCAGGAAAAAUCACAAAGAAGCCCAGAAAGCACAGCUGGAAGCCAAGAACCCUGUUUUUGGUUUGUGUGGGUGGAAGGUGAGGGACAACAUAUAGUGACCAACAGGAUUCUUCAUUUGAAAGAGAAUGGAGUACAUCAGACCUGUGUAUUUAGGUGAAGUAUGAUAAACAUCAUCAUACUUCAAAGAUUAUGAACAUCAAAGAUUAUGGAAAGGAACAUGACUGCUUAGUUUAUUCCAUUACCAGUGAUCUGCUUGUUUGUUCAUUUGCUUACCCAUCCAUUCAUUUAUUCAUUCAUUCCUCCAUCCAUUCUCUUUCACUUAUUCUACAAUCAUGAUUGUAUGC
rnacentral:lncRNA from 1 species